rnacentral:rRNA from 1 species
UACGUAGGGGGCAAGCGUUGUCCGGAAUUAUUGGGCGUAAAGCGCGUGCAGGCGGCUUGUUAAGUUGGGUGUUUAAGACCGGGGCUCAACCCCGGCUCGCACCCAAAACUGGGAAGCUUGAGUGUAGGAGAGGAAAGUGGAAUUCCACGUGUAGCGGUGAAAUGCGUAGAGAUGUGGAGGAACACCAGUGGCGAAGGCGACUUUCUGGCCUAUAACUGACGCUGAGGCGCGAAAGCGUGGGGAGCAAACAGG